GCGAACGCUGGCGGCAGGCCUCACACAUGCAAGUCGAACGGAUCCUUCGGGAUUAGUGGCGGACGGGUGAGUAACACGUGGGAACGUGCCCUUUGGUUCGGAACAACUCAGGGAAACUUGAGCUAAUACCGGAUGUGCCCUUCGGGGGAAAGAUUUAUCGCCAUUGGAGCGGCCCGCGUCUGAUUAGCUAGUUGGUGAGGUAACGGCCCACCAAGGCGACGAUCAGUAGCUGGUCUGAGAGGAUGAUCAGCCACACUGGGACUGAGACACGGCCCAGACUCCUACGGGAGGCAGCAGUGGGGAAUCUUGCGCAAUGGGCGAAAGCCUGACGCAGCCAUGCCGCGUGAAUGAUGAAGGUCUUAGGAUUGUAAAAUUCUUUCAGCGGGGACGAUAAUGACGGUACCCGCAGAAGAAGCUCCGGCUAACUUCGUG
rnacentral:rRNA from 1 species